CAUGGUUUGUAGCUAUUAUCCUUGCUUUAUAUGGUUUGUAUGCUUUUCGAAAGCAUUCCAUUGGUGAAGCAAGCAUUGUAGAGCAACUUGCAAUUGUUACUUCAGUAUUCACUUGGCUAACUCUAGUACCCCAUUCUUAUUUCAAUGGCUAGCUUGAAGGUUGGCCCUUUAUCUUCUUCUUUGUAUACCACUAUUUCUUUUUCUUCAAUGUCAGUGUAAGAAAACGAUUGUACGGAGAUUAUUAUGCCCGCCCACAUGAUCCUAAGUGGGAUGUGAACCCACCCAAAUGGUAUCGUCUUUUGUUCUGUGUUGGAGUCAUGGUUGGGCACUGGCUUGCUGCAUUUGAAGCUCCAGAGAUGCAUCGAGUUCCAGGAGGUUGGAGCAACAUUGAACUGUGGAUGCUGAUUCUGGUAACUCUUUUGAUGCAAUAUAAUUCAACAUUGUAUCUUGCAAAGUAUUCAGAGAAAGUAGUGGUGCCAACUGCUGUCGUCCAAUUUGGGCCAUACAGUUUGUUUGCUGUAUUAUGAGCGGAAAGUAAAAUUGGAGGAGGUUCUAAUGGUAGAGUCUUUUGGAGAGAGUUACUUGGAGUAUGCGAGUAAAGUUAGGUGCAAAUUCAUACCUUUUGUGUGCUAGCGGCAAACAGAACCUAUUAAAGGCACAUAGUUGCUGCAUGAACUGACUUGCUUAGAUCCUCCCUCUAUGUUAGCAACAGGUGACCAACGUUCCAGUGGUUGAUAAGGUACUGCAGAUUGUCACUAUGGGACAUGUUCAGACGUAGGAAAAGUUACCCAUUUCGUACUAGUUUGACGGCCAACUCAUCUAUGAUGUGAACUACAUAAGCUAACCCUUGUUUUGUACAGCGUAUUUUCCAUCAUAUAUAUGAAAACGCAAGGUAGAAGCAAUAACGUUAUACUCUAAAGAUACUUGUGGAUUAUUUAUUCUGCAAAUAGUCAGGUCGACUAAUUUGCUUCUAUGUCCUUGCAUGUUGCAUUUUUCAAGCACUUCAAGACAAUUGUAACUGGUCCUCGUAUGUAUUCUUAUCUCUGUCAAAUAAUUCAUCCAAG